AGGGCGACUGAAAAGGGAUGAGCCCAGCGCAGAAUCAGGCCGAUCUCUAUACGGGACGGUCGUGAAAUGUUGCGUUUCGGAGGAUCUAGUCUUGCGUGUCGGUUCGAGCAUAAGUUUUCUUUGAAUGGAGCCAUUGACCAUGGAGGGUGUUAGUCCCGUUUUGCCGUGACCGACCGUGAGGUGGAUCUCUCUGUAGAGUCGGGUUGCUUGAAAUUGCAGCCCUAAGCAGGUGGUAAACUCCAUCUAAGGCUAAAUAUGACCAUGAGACCGAUAGCAAACAAGUACCGUGAGGGAAAGUUGAAAAGUACUUUGAAGAGAGAGUUAAAAAGAGCGUGAAACCGAUAAGAGGAAAACGGGUGGAACCUCGAAGAUCGAUGGAGACAAUUCAACUCGCGGUGCUGGACACCACGCGUUUGGUAGGAUUUCGCUUCGGCGUGCCUCUGAACCGUGGAAGGUCGGCCCUGAGCGUGCCCUUAUCUCCGGAGGUCGUCGCGACCCGUUCGUUGGCUAUCAUAAGGCUCCGGUAGGAAGGACCAAUCGCUUCGGCGAGUGGGAAUCUCUGGGUGACCUGAUCGGCCGGCACCUUUGGCAAUUUGUUAAAAGACUGUGUUUGUUGAGCACACAGGGACUCGCUGAGCAUCUCUGCGACGAGUAGGUCGGUUGUCCACCCGACCCGUCUUGAAACACGGACCAAGGAGUCUAUCAUGUACACGAGUCAUUGGGCUUACUAAGCCCAAAGGCGAAGUGA
rnacentral:rRNA from 1 species